UUAACUACCAUCGCACAUCCAUCUUCGCCUCUUCGUUACCACCAUUCAUUACCACCAUAUAUCCCCUUAAUUGUUUAAUAUGUUGUUCUAAAACGUUCUAUGUUCCACCACUCCUACAACUAAGUCCAACGCACCUCCAGCAACCCUAUCUAUCACAACCGCCGCACCUCCAUAAAGCAUAGUUUCCAACCACAUAACUUAUUUCCACCCUACUUCUUUCUUUGAAAACCCUAAAUCCUAUCUCUCUCUUUCAUCUGACCAGGUAAAAGCCUAACCGUUAGACAAUGGAUUAGUAUGCAAGAGGAGAUGAGAUCGGGAUGUCUACUAUUGUUCGAUACUCUUUUACUUAUUAAGAGUAUUAUCUAAUUUAGAGUCAUCAUCACACACCGUUUAGCUAUUCGUUAUUUCUUCCACCACCACAGCCACAAGCUUCCUGUCAAAAGUUAACAUCUACAACCCACCAUUGGUACCUCGAUUUAUGAAUUUUUUAUGUUUCGUAUAAUGUUUUGGUUUAAUUUUUUUUUCUAGAUUUAUGCUAUUUGAUAUGAAAUUAUGAUGCUCUGCUUAUACGUUUUGGAUUGAUUUUUGGGGUUUCUUGGAAGAAUACGCCUUCAUUUUCAGAUCUUAAAGCAAAACAGAAAGCUUAAAUUUGUUUGCAUUCUUAGGUACAUUUUGUUGAUUUUUUUUUUAUAAAUUUAAGUUGUUGAAAUUUAUUUGGGGUUUUGUGAUGUUAAAUAAUGUUAUUAGUAAUGAGAUGUUCAUACAAUGAAACACUAAACAUUUGGACACAAGUUAGCCAUCCAUCCUUUCCUACAUGUAUUGUUUACAAAUUUUGAGAAUAUGAACUCUUAUAAUUCUUUAUGUCGUUGGUUCUUAAAGCAGGGAUUUACUAGAUGGUGUUGACUUUGGUAAGGAUAAUUGGUGUUUGUAUUUAAAAAACUUAUACUUUACUUAUUAAACUAUAUAAAAAAAAUUAAGAUGCAAUUUUUUUGAGAUACAUAAAUGGUUUUCUAAUGAAUUGUUUUCAUGUAGGAAGAAGUGGGGAAGAUGAUUAAGAAGUGGAAUCAAGGAAUAUGUCUUACAUAGAUUAUGGGCCCUUCUGAAAUCUAUCCAGCUAAAAGUGAAUAGCUAAAGUUCAAUUUUCUUGGAGUGUUUUGGAGGCUUGUGGAGUUCAAGCACUAUGGGCUAACAAAGGAAUGAAAUAGGAACUUUUGAUUAAAAUGGAUGUUGAUGAUUGUGGAGGUGUAUGCUCAAAUUCAACCAAGGUGUCCUAAUAUGAUAUUGAAGAUGAAUAAUGGGAUUAUAUAGACAUAAGAGCAUCUGAUUUUGAUAGUUCACAAGAAUUGAGAAAGAUGACCAUCACACACCACCACUACUACCAUUUAUAUCCCUCAACAUAGUCAUCAUGACCCACGGUCACCAUAGCUCCACCACCUUAUGUAAUUUGUCUCAUCCCUGUUUAUUGUAUCUCAGUUACAAGCAUAUUUAAAAAUUUUAGUCAGUAGAGAGGUUUCAUCUCCGUUUUUUAAUCAGUAAAAGGAAUCUGGUUCGGUUUUAGUUUUUAAGCUUCAUUUUUUGUAUAACUUUUAGCCAUAUGGGGUUAUAUAUGUUCAUGUUGUUGCU